rnacentral:rRNA from 1 species
UAAUACAGAGGGUGCAAGCGUUAAUCGGAGUUACUGGGCGUAAAGGGCGCGUAGGCGGUUAGAUGUGUGAGAUGUGAAAUCCCUGGGCUUAACCUAGGAACUGCAUCUUAAACUGUCUGACUGGAGUACUGUAGAGGGUAGUGGAAUUUCCGGUGUAGCGGUGAAAUGCGUAGAGAUCGGAAGGAACACCAGUGGCGAAGGCGGCUACCUGGACAGAUACUGACGCUGAGGCGCGAGAGCGUGGGGAGCAAACAGGAUUAGAUACCCUGGUAGUCCACGCUGUAAACGAUGAGAACUAGAUGUUGGCCAGCUUGACUGGUUAGUAUCGAAGCUAACGCGAUAAGUUCUCCGCCUGGGGAGUACGGCCGCAAGGUUA